AACCAAACCUUUCCGCCGAACACUGUUCAUCUCUUCCAACUACAGACCAUGUCGAAAUCUCCUCAAAGAAGCCACAUUGGCUCAAACAGCCACUGCGAACAACAAGCCCUUUCUAGCUCCACCUUCUCCGGUACGAAGCCCUGGCCCACUCUUGUUUGUUCCUGAUCGAGAACCAUCUCCUACUCUCACUCAGUCACUCUUCCAGCUGAUUUCAAAAUCCCAGACAAAAUCCUAGUACCUCCUAGAGUAGAACCAGACAAACAGACGACUCUGACCCUUUCUAAACUAGCUGAAACCCCAAAGACAAACCAAUCUCGAAUACUACAACGAGCACCUGAACCUCUUUGGAGAAAUUCCAGUAACCCCAUCAACCAUCGAGGAGUACCUCAAUACGCGUUCAGGUAAUGACCCCUAGCGUUGCGAGAUGCUUCUCGAACAUGUUACCAGGAGAAACAAGCAAAGACUUUGCAAAUGAAGGGAAACAGAAGAAAGAGAGCUCUGUUUACUACGAGAAUUGUGCUCUGUUUACCAUAUGCAUUUGUAAUUUGCAAAAAAAAAAGAUGAAAUAAUUCAUA